AGCCUGAACGCUGGCGGCGUGGCUAAGACAUGCAAGUCGCACGGGUGUAGCAAUACACCAGUGGCGCACGGGUGAGUAAUGUAUUGCUAAUGUACCCUUGAGCUGGGGAUAGCCAGUCGAAAGGCUGGGUAAUACCCGAUGAAAUAUCCUUGCCGCAUGGUGAGGACCUCAAAGCCGCAAGGCACUCUUGGAGCAGGCGAUAUCGUAUCAGCUAGUUGGUGAGGUAACGGCUCACCAAGGCGAUGACGCGUAGCUGGUCUGAGAGGACGACCAGCCACAUCGGGACUGAGACACUGCCCGGACUCCUACGGGGGGCUGCAGUAACGAAUCUUCCGCAAUGCACGAAAGUGUGACGGAGCGACGCCGCGUGUAGGACGAAGUCCUUCGGGAUGUAAACUACUGUCAGGGGAAAGAAAGUUCUGAUCUACCCCAGAGGAAGAGGCGGCUAACUCUGUGCCAGCAGCCGCGGUAAUACAGAGGCCUCGAGCGUUAGGCGGAAUCACUGGGCUUAAAGCGUGUGUAGGUGGAUGCCUAAGUACCUUGUGAAAUCCCACGGCUUAACCGUGGAAUGGCUGGGUAUACUGGGCGUCUUGAGCCACUCAGGGGCUACCGGAACAAAUGGUGGAGCGGUGAAAUGCGUAGAUAUCAUUUGGAACGCCAAUGGUGAAAACAGGUAGCUGGGGGUGUGCUGACACUGAGACACGAAAGCCAGGGGAGCGAACGGGAUUAGAUACCCCGGUAGUCCUGGCCCUAAACGAUGUCCACUAGAUCGUGGCGGUUCUAACGCCGUCACGGUCGAAGCCAAAGUGCUAAGUGGAC
rnacentral:rRNA from 1 species